ACAAGCGGUGGAUGAUGUGGAUUAAUUCGAUGCAACGCGAAAAACCUUACCUACCCUUGACAUGUCCGGAAUCCUGCAGAGAUGCGGGAGUGCCCGAAAGGGAAUCGGAACACAGGUGCUGCAUGGCUGUCGUCAGCUCGUGUCGUGAGAUGUUGGGUUAAGUCCCGCAACGAGCGCAACCCUUAUCAUUAGUUGCUACGCAAGGGCACUCUAAUGAGACUGCCGGUGACAAACCGGAGGAAGGUGGGGAUGACGUCAAGUCCUCAUGGCCCUUAUGGGUAGGGCUUCACACGUCAUACAAUGGUCGGUACAGAGGGUUGCCAAGCCGCGAGGUGGAGCCAAUCCCAGAAAGCCGAUCGUAGUCCGGAUUGUUCUCUGCAACUCGAGAGCAUGAAGUCGGAAUCGCUAGUAAUCGCGGAUCAGCAUGUCGCGGUGAAUACGUUCCCGGGUCUUGUACACACCGCCCGUCACACCAUGGGAGUGGAAUCUGGCAGAAGUAGGUAGCCUAACCGCGAGGAGGGCGCUUACCACGCUGGGUUUCAUGACUGGGGUGAAGUCGUAACAAGGUAGCCGUAGGGGAACCUGCGGCUGGAUCACCUCCUU
rnacentral:rRNA from 1 species